GAAGUUUAUCACUUGACUUAAUUUAUCAUAAUUAGGAUUGAGCAAAAAACGGAUAUAACCGAAAAAUCGAAUCGAACCGAAAUAAUUUAAUCGAAUUUUUUUGAUAAUUCGAGUAUUUUUUACAAUUCGGUUAUAUCCAAAAAAAAAUUCGGUUUACGAGUUCGGAUUUGAGUUUGGAUUUUGUGUUAUUCAGCUAACCAAAUAACCGAGCAAAAUGUUUAAAAGAAUUAAGGCUUAAAGAAACACUAAUGUUAACUCUUCAGUACUCUUCAUCUCUUAUCUUAUCUCAUUUCUCAAUCUUCAGAUCUUGGUUAUCAACUGUCAGUCUCUCACCAUUCAUCAGUCUUUCAUAUCUUCAAUCUCUCUCUACUCUAUCAGAUCUCGAUCUCUAAUCUCUCAGAUCUCAAUCACUCAUCAGUCUAUCAUCUCGAUCUCGAUUGCAAGAGUUGCGAUUUCGCUCGGCCUCCGAACAACUUCAUCUCCAAGUACCAUGGAUAACAUUUCAAGAAGGAGCUACAACUUCUGAAUCCAUUUAUUUUCUCUUUCCUCUCGUCAGUCGUCGCGCUUCUUUGUAAUAAUUGAGGGAAUUGGACUUUGGAGUAAUUGAUACAACACUGAAGGGGCUACAGCCUGCCGCUACUUACUUAUUUGGGUAAAAAAAAUUUGUUGAGUUUUAGUACAGGUAUUGCCUAGUAUAUGUGAUCAACUGCUCCGUUGUUUUUGUCUACCUCUCUCUAGUAUCUUAUUUCAAGUUUUUUUUCUCCAUUUGAAACAAUAUUUGUAAUGGAUUUAGUUUUGUUUUAGAAAUCAGUAAUAUAUUUCUUAAUUUCGAUUUUUAUCCGAACAAUCGAAUAAUAAAUUCG
rnacentral:lncRNA from 1 species